rnacentral:rRNA from 1 species
GUAUAAUUUAUUAAUUGUUAAUAUAAUAUUUUUGGUUUAACUGCCUUUUGCAUCAUGCUUAAUAGAGUGUAAAUUGUAUAGUUUAAACCGAAAAUUUCAGAUCUUUCCUGUAAUUGUUUAGAAUAUAUGAAAUUUAAGUUAAUUUUUUUAGAUUAUAGGUAUGUUGUGAAAAGUUAAUCGUUGAAGUUUAUAUCUGUUUGAUUAUUAAUUUCUUCUUUGAAUAUUUAAGGUUAUGAUAUCUUAAAUAAGUUUAUAUCAUUACACUAUUAAUUUUUAUAAUAGGGUUAAAAAUACCUUAUUUUAAUAAGUUUGUUGUAAUAUUUGUUGACUUGUUGUGUGGUUAAAUCUAAUAAUAAUCUAUGGAAUAGUUGGUGUUAAAUUAUUAUUAAAUUAGUAAUAUUAUUAUGAUGUAUUAUUUCUCAAGUUUUGUCCGUCUGUUUAUUAAAAACAUUUCCAAAUUUAAGUUUAUUUGGUAAUACCUGCCCCAUGCUUAUAGUAAAUGGCCGCAGUAUAUUGACUGUGCGAAGGUAGCAUAAUUAAUUGCCUUAUAAUUGAAGGCUUGUUUGAAUGGUUUAACGGGAUGAAUAUAAAUAUUACAUAUAUAGUUGAAUUUAUUAUUGAGGGCACAGAGACCUCAAAAUUUAAUUAGACGGAAAGACCCCGGGAUCUUUUAUUUUUGCCUGGGGCAGGUAUUAAUGUUUCAUUAGUAUUUUGACCCUUAAUGGUUUAUUGGGUUAAGUUACCCCGGGGAUAACAGUGUAAUAAUUAAUAAGAGAUCAUAUCGAAUUAAUUGAUUGCCACCUCGAUGUUGACUUAGGUAAAAAUGUAAACGCAGUAGUUUAUAAUUUGGGUCUGUUCGACCUUUGUUACCUCCAUGAGUUGAGUUAAGACCGGCGUGAGCCAGGUCGGUUCUUAUCUAUUGUAGUGAUUUAUUAGUACGAAAGGACCAUAAAUCUUUUUAUU